rnacentral:rRNA from 1 species
UACGUAGGGUGCAAGCGUUGUCCGGAAUCAUUGGGCGUAAAGAGCGUGUAGGCGGCCCGAUAAGUCCGCUGUGAAAGUCCAGGGCUCAACCCUGGAAUGCCGGUGGAUACUGUCGGGCUAGAGUCCGGAAGGGGCGAGUGGAAUUCCUGGUGUAGCGGUGAAAUGCGCAGAUAUCAGGAGGAACACCAAUGGCGAAGGCAGCUCGCUGGGACGGUACUGACGCUGAGGCGCGAGAGCGUGGGGAGCAAACCGG